UCAGAUCCGAGAGGUCAAGGAACUUUUUCUGUUUCAGUCUUUUUGAUCCUAGUUUCCUGUUGUCCUGAGAGCGACUUCCUGUGUGCGUCUGGCAAAUGUGUCCCAGUUGAUGAUGUCUGUGAUUUCAAGGACGACUGUGACGAUGGUUCCGACGAGGAGUUCUGUGGGUCGUGUGAUUUUGAGCGCCACUCCUGUGGAUGGAACGACAGCAGUGUGGGAGUGUACCGCUGGAGUCUGGAGAGGGCUAACAUCAGCCUGAUUCCUGGACAGGACCACACCACGGGAUCACCCUGGGGUCAUGUUAUGCAUGUGGAAGGAGACUCAGCAACACACUUUGGCAGGGCCGUGUUGUUGCAUUCCGUUGACCAACCAAUGGCUUUGGGAUGCCAUAUAAGGUAAGGAGAAAUUCUGUACUGGUCAGCGUUUCCCUUUGAUUUACAGCUUUACGGUUUUAAUCAUUGCGUAACAAAAAGAGGAGGAGGGAGAGUUCGUGAGGUAUAAAGUCAUAGUUUUUCAUCUG
rnacentral:lncRNA from 1 species